ACAUGUUAUUUUCGUAUAAAUUCAUUUUUUUUCUUUUCUGUUCUUUUUAACUCUUCUCUUUUUUUCUGAUCCACCUUGUUCAAAUUCAUGCAACCUUGCCCACUCCCCCUCAACUCCAGUCCAAAAUAUUCAAAAUGGUCGCCGCCUGGAUUGCUGGUGGAAGCGAUUCUCAUGAUAAUUCUUAUCUCAGUGAUUCGGUAAUUGUUACAUUUUUCGUGGAUUGUUCUAUGAUAGCACUAUUAGAGUAUCUGUCUGUCUGGUAUUUCAUUUUUACCAUAACACUUUGCGACCAACUUGAAAAAGAAAUUGGAUGGCUGUAAAGUGUAAAGAAGAGUUUACUUCAUAUGAGAUAUUUUUGGUCUUUAUUCUUAAAGUAAUAUCUUCAACUUAAGGUUUCGUGUGUCAUGGGUGCUUGUGACAAUAAAGAUGAAAUUGUCCAAUUCAAGCUUGUGUCUUACAAAACUAAGAAAAUUCUAUUUGCAAGGUAGAAAACCUUUCUGACAAAACAUGGUUUUCCAGUUGUUGCUGAAUGGAUUGUUUUCGGGUUAGUUCCCAUGUCUAAAGACAAAUCCUAGCCCACAACUCACCAAGAGGAUACUUUCGACAUAUUUAUGUCGAUACUUUGUAUGCAGAGGUACUGUGCAAUGUUUAUUAAUUAUUUUUCAAUUACCAUUGUAGAGUUGAACCUACAGACGGGCCGGCCAGUUUGCAUGUUCUUCACGCUUGAAGGGAACAUAUCGUGUAAAACUGUAAAUGCGGUGUUGUAGAGGUUGGGUGAGAAUGAAACGUGUUGCAUCAUUAUCAAGCAGGUAUUCA